CCCUAGUAACGGCGAGUGAAGCGGCAACAGCUCAAAUUUGAAAUCUGGCCCUCGGGUCCGAGUUGUAAUUUGUAGAGGAUGCUUUUGGCGCGGUGCCUUCCGAGUUCCCUGGAACGGGACGCCUUAGAGGGUGAGAGCCCCGUACGGUUGGACACCAAGCCUCUGUAAAGCUCCUUCGACGAGUCGAGUAGUUUGGGAAUGCUGCUCUAAAUGGGAGGUAAAUUUCUUCUAAAGCUAAAUAUUGGCCAGAGACCGAUAGCGCACAAGUAGAGUGAUCGAAAGAUGAAAAGCACUUUGAAAAGAGGGUUAAAUAGCACGUGAAAUUGUUGAAAGGGAAGCGUUUGCGACCAGACCUUUUCCUAGCGGAUCAUCCGGUGUUCUUCACCGGUGCACUUCGCUAGGUUGAGGCCAGCAUCGGUUUUCGUAGGGGGAUAAAAGCCCUGGGAACGUAGCUCCUCCGGGAGUGUUAUAGCCCUCUGCAUAAUACCCUUACGGGGACCGAGGACCGCGCUUUUAGCAAGGAUGCUGGCGUAAUGGUCGUCAACGACCCGUCUUGAAACACGGACCAAGGAGUCGAACAUUUGUGCGAGUGUUUGGGUGUUAAACCCUCACGCGUAAUGAAAGUGAACGGAGGUGAGAGCCCUUACGGGUGCAUCAUCGACCGAUCCUGAUGUCUUCGGAUGGAUUUGAGUAAGAGCAUAACUGUUCGGACCCGAAAGAUGGUGAACUAUGCGUGGAUAGGGUGAAGCCAGAGGAAACUCUGGUGGAGGCUCGCAGCGGUUCUGACGUGCAAAUCGAUCGUCAAAUCUGCGCAUGGGGGCGAAAGACUUAUCGAACCAUCUAGUAGCUGGUUACCGCCGAAGUUUCCCUCAGGAUAGCAGUGUUGUUCUUCAGUUUUAUGAGGUAAAGCGAAUGAUUAGGGACUCGGGGGCGCUUUUUAGCCUUCAUCCAUUCUCAAACUUUAAAUAUGUAAGAAGCCCUUGUUACUUAAUUGAACGUGGGCAUUCGAAUGUACCAACACUAGUGGGCCAUUUUUGGUAAGC
rnacentral:rRNA from 1 species